GCCGACAUAGCUCAGCUGGUAGAGCAGCUGAUUUGUAAUCAGCCGGUCGUUGGUUCAAUUCCGACUGUCGGCUCCA
rnacentral:tRNA from 1 species